rnacentral:lncRNA from 10 species
CAGGGCUUCACCACAUGGCCGAGGCUUGUAUUGAACUCCUGACCUCAAGUGAUCUGCCUGCCUUGGCCUCCCAAAGUGCUGGGAUUACAGGUGUGAGCCAAUGCACCUGGCCUAAACUUCAGUCAUUCUCUGAAUGUGUUGCCAGCUUCAAAUUAACUUUGAGCACAUGAGCAAGUCCAGAGGGAAAGCAGGCAACUUGGCACUGCUAGUUUGGUAUUUUCAGAUGCAAAUAAAUAAGAUAUAGAAAGUUAAACUGAUCAACAUGAGUUGAGAAUUUUCUCAAGGCAUGUGUAAGUAGAACCUUAUUGCAAUGUACACUGCAGAAGAAGAAAAUGAUGAGGAGUGCAUACUGAAGAGAGAGGCUAUACCUUAAAGAUCCAAAUUGAAAUAUAGGUGAGCAGGCCACCUCUUGAAGGCCUCUCACUAUUCAAGUGGUCAUUUGGGGCAUCAUUCCCAGACCCAGCCUGGCCCCCAACCUCACCCUUGUCUUCUGAACUUGAUGCUGCAAUGGGCGUUGUCUCUCUGGGAAUGUGUCUGUUACUCUUAGUGAGCUGAAUCCUGUGCUGAGGGUGUCUCUGUUCCUGGAACCCCAGCUGACAUAAUGGGACCAUGCACCCUGUGUGUUCACUCCGUGCUAGAUCUCCAGAUGUUAAAUCCUGCCCUGACUGACUCCCUUUAACCUGAGGCCAGCCUGUUGAUCCCAGCCCUAGCUGUGCAUAGGCUCUCAUCUCCUGCCUGCAUGGGAAUGAUGUCACCAAAACAUUCUUUACUUUUUCUCAAUAAGUGGACCAAAUGGUUCCUUUAAGGGCAGUUUCCUGGGGUCUUUACUUACACACUGGCUGCUUGCUACCUUCAGGCUGGCAUUUGUCCCACCAUGGUGUUUUGGGGAGAUAUACAGGCGCAUCCUUGAAGGUUAAUUAAGAAGAAAAUAAAGCACCUUGAAUCCUAGGAGUCAGAUUUACAAAGCUUUCCAAGAAUACCCAAUUAGGUAAAGGGAGGUAAUUCUGCUCUAAUGUUUACAUCCUUUUCCUUCCCCUGCUUGUGAAUGUUUUCAAGUACAACUCCUACUCCCAGCAGUACAUGCCACAC